rnacentral:rRNA from 1 species
CCCUUAGAGUUUGAUCCUGGCUCAAAAUCAACGCUGGCGGCGUGCCUCAGACAUGCAAGUCGAACGAUUAAGACUCCCUUCGGGGAGUGCAUAAAGUGGCGCACGGGUGAGUAACACGUAAGUAAUCUACCUUCGAGUGGGGAAUAACGUUCGGAAACGGACGCUAAUACCGCAUAACGCAGCGGCAUCGCAAGAUGACAGUUGUUAAAGGAGCAAUCCGCUUGAAGAGGAGCUUGCGGCAGAUUAGCUAGUUGGUAAGGUAACGGCUUACCAAGGCUACGAUCUGUAUCCGGUCUAAGAGGACGGUCGGACACACUGACACUGAAUAACGGGUCACACUCCUACGGGAGGCAGCAGUCGGGAAUUUUGGGCAAUGGGCGAAAGCCUGACCCAGCAACGCCGCGUGAAGGAUGAAGUAUUUCGGUAUGUAAACUUCGAAAGAAUAGGAAGAAUAAAUGACGGUACUAUUUAUAAGCUCCGGCUAACUACGUGCCAGCAGCCGCGGUAAUACGUAGGGAGCAAGCGUUGUUCGGAUUUACUGGGCGU